AUCAAUUAUAGACAUAGCAGCCAGCAUAUAUUGACCAGAGAGCAGUUAAGAAUCAAUCACAUUGCUGUGGGUCUGGAGUUACAUGGAGGGCCAGACUAGGAUCAUCUGCUGAGCUGUUUCGUAGUUGCACUAGAUUUUGAUUAUGGUCAGCAAUAAUUUUUGCCAUUGUGUCUCCACAUCCGUAAUCCAGUGGAUCAUCCUCUACAACUUCCACUUGGGAAAGAUGUCCAACAUGUUGUCUGGGUUGAUAUCCCAUUGGAGCAGUGGAAAUGCCAAACAGCAUUUGGAGCCACCUGUAUCUCCUGAAAGAAACUGCUUUACUGUGGUCUACAAGCUGGUGCUGCAAGAACCACCAGGAGAACGCCAAGGGAAAGGAAAGAGGAAGAAAGUGUGGAGAGACCAAAAAGCAUCUCAGAGGCAGUCAUCAUAUCUCGCGGGAUGUAAUUGAUUUGUGUUCUCUCCCAUUCCUACCAUCCUGGUGUAAUAUUUUACUUGUUUCUAAAAAUAUGUCUAAUACAUCUAUUACCUGUUCUGCA